AUUGAACGCUGGCGGCAUGCCUUACACAUGCCAGUCGAACGGCAGCACGGGUGCUUGCACCUGGUGGCGAGUGGCGAACGGGUGAGUAAUACAUCGGAACAUGUCCUGUAGUGGGGGAUAGCCCGGCGAAAGCCGGAUUAAUACCGCAUACGAUCUACGGAUGAAAGCGGGGGACCUUCGGGCCUCGCGCUAUAGGGUUGGCCGAUGGCUGAUUAGCUAGUUGGUGGGGUAAAGGCCUACCAAGGCGACGAUCAGUAGCUGGUCUGAGAGGACGACCAGCCACACUGGGACUGAGACACGGCCCAGGCUCCUACGGGAGGCAGCAGUGGGGAAUUUUGGACAAUGGGCGAAAGCCUGAUCCAGCAAUGCCGCGUGUGUGAAGAAGGCCUUCGGGUUGUAAAGCACUUUUGUCCGGAAAGAAAUCCUUGGCCCUAAUACGGUCGGGGGAUGACGGUACCGGAAGAAUAAGCACCGGCUAACUACGUG
rnacentral:rRNA from 1 species